UACGUAGGGGGCAAGCGUUGUCCGGAUUUAUUGGGCGUAAAGAGCGUGUAGGCGGCCUGAAAGGUCAGCUGUGAAAACUCGAGGCUCAACCUCGAGACGUCGGUUGAAACCAUCUGGCUAGAGUCCGGAAGAGGAGAGUGGAAUUCCCGGUGUAGCGGUGAAAUGCGCAGAUAUCGGGAAGAACACCCGUGGCGAAGGCGGCCAUCUGGACGGAUACUGACGCUGAGACGCGAAAGCGUGGGGAGCAAACAGG
rnacentral:rRNA from 1 species